rnacentral:pre_miRNA from 1 species
AGACUUCUGUAUUCGUGCUGAGAUUUCGUCACACACCAGACAAGGGCUGAUGAGACUUCCAAGAUAAGUGAAGCG